rnacentral:rRNA from 1 species
GAUGAACGCUGGCGGCGUGCUUUACACAUGCAAGUCGAACGGCAAGGCGAGGUUCUUGCUGGCUGCUCGUUUGGAGCGGGUGAGUAAUACACCCGAACGUCCCCCGCCUUUGGGGAUGGCACCGCGAAAGACCGCUUGAUACCACAUCCGACCAGCUGGUGAAACCCGGGGGCCGAUAGUCCAUGCCGUCUUUGCGGGGUCGAUGUCGGGUUAGCUAGCUGGUUGGGUGAAGGCUUACCAAGGCGGCGUUCCGUAGCUAGUCUGAGAGGACGACCUGCCACACUGGGACUGAGACACGGCCCAGACUCCUACGGGAGGCAGCAGUGGGGAAUUGUGGGCAAUGGGGGAAAACCUGAUCCAGCCAUGCCGCGUGAGGGAAGAAGGCCUUCGGGUUGUAAACCGCUUUUGUUCGGGAAGAAAUCCUCUGGGCUAAUACCACGGGGGGAUGACGGUACCGGAAGAAUAAGCACCGGCUAACUACGUG